AGGGAGCAGGGAAGGGAGCAGCUCUGCACACCUGGGGAGGCCCUCCCUCUGCCCGCACCAGUGUUUGAGGAGUUGCUGGGCGACGAGCCCCCCGGGACCAAACGCUGCCGAGCUUCCAACAUCACCACGCCGACCAGGAGGGGGAACAGAGCGUGGCGGAGGGCUCCCGACCAGACUGGGCUUUUUUGAGGAAAAUGAUUUGUGAACUGCAAAAUAUUCUGAGAGGGAAUUACUAUUCAUAUGAAUGGAGAAAAAAACACAAGACAAAUGUUAUAUCUGAUGAGGAUUUAUUAAGGAAGCUUCUUAGUCACAAGGAAUAGAACACUGUGCACAGAAGAGCUCAAAGAUUUCUGGUUUCUAAGAAGCAUUAAGCAUCAUGCCAUAAACAACGCUUUUCCUAAGUCUCAAUGUCACCACCAAGAUGGCCAUACCCAUGUGAACAAUUUCAGCUACACCAUCCCUCAGGUUGGUUACCAAAGGCAGGAAGAAAGGGUGCAAAGCUAUAAAUGUGAUCAAGAGACUAGCUCUAUAGCCACAUCUCAGAAUACUUCAAGAGGGGGUAGCAGCUACCUGGUAGACCUGAGUGGUUUAACCACAACAAACACAAAAUACUUCACACAAAUAGGAGGGAGGGAGCAAGCAGGGAAAAGUACUUCAAGAUGGGAGAUCUUAGCGGCAAA